ensembl:rRNA 5S_rRNA 5S ribosomal RNA
GCUUACGGCCAUACCCCUUCUGGCUCCGCCUGAUUCUCGUUUGAUCUCAGAAAGCUAAGCCGAGUUAGGGCCUGGUUAGUAACUGGAUGGAAGACCGCUGGGAAUCCCAGGUGCCGUAAGCU